UAUUGGUUGUGUGAGCACACAUUGAUCAUCCACCCUGAAGUUAGCAAAGCAUGCCCAAGGGUGAUCAAGUGGAAUCUUGCCAAAUUACAUAAACGUAUGAAAGUCAUAUCACUACAUCAGCUGACAACAACACAGGUAACUAGUGCUCAAUUGAAUGAGGAAAGUGAUGAAGAACUUGAUGACACUGAAGAAGAAGAA